AAUCUCCUGUUCCAAGGCAGAGGAAAAAAGAAUGUUUAAAAAAAUAUAUAUAAAUAAAAAGGCAGAAUAUCUGAGGACUUCUCUAGCUAAAUCAGGCAUGCUGCUGGGAGGUGGAUGUGAACCUGUCCCCAGCCUGCCAGCAGGAGCCGAGCUCAGUGGGGAUUAGGAGCAAAAUGCCUUGGACCAGCUGCCUGCAGGAGUCAAAGGAGCCUGGGAUGUCACUGGCAAGUAAGAGAUUAUUCAGUUUCUUCAGGAGAGACUUCUGAUCCGCAAUGGACCACAUCCUUGGUUGAGAAUAGUGGUGCUUCACUAGUGGAAAAGCCUCCGCCACCGAGCAGCCUGGUUCGCUGGCACCUUUAUCAUUUGAAGCAUUGUCUCAGCCCCCGAUGAUCACUUACUCACAGAGAGCCCUGAAACAGUGUAAUUGCUGUGUUGUACUUACCUCCAGCCUGCACAGCAUGUGGCAAUUGACCUGAUAAGUAACAAAGCCCUGGCAUUUCUUCCUUCCUAAACCAUCCUGUGAGCAUUUAGUGCUGACCAGUACAAAGACAUCGGGGAAUAACAGACUAGCCUAUGGGGCCAGAGACAGCAUAUUAACAAACACCUGUUUGUAUCUGCCCUCCAGUGAUGAAAUCGUAAGCCUGGGGUUGCCAGAGCUUCCGCCUGUGUGUCCCUCUUUCCCCAGUGGAUCAUCAGAUAAACCUGUCAGCACCACCACGGCAUGUGACAGAUGGUGUGGGUUCCCUUUAAACAGCUGAACUCCUGUAUCAAGGGGUAAUCUACAGCUUGGGGGAGCGGCAAGUAUGAUGGAUAUAAAUAUGCCAUCACGAGUUUGUGGCUUAACUGCAAUGAAUGAAUGAGGCAAAAGUGAGCGUUCAUACGUGGCCUGCAAACUCUGGCCUGUUAAACCCUCUUAAACCCAAGUCCCUUUCAUCACUGGCAAUAUUGUGAGACUGUAGACUGAAAUAAAUGGAUAUACAUUGGGCUGUUACUGGCCAGUCUUAAGAGGCUCGAUAGAACAAAUGCUCUUGAUAGAACAAAUUAAGAUAUAUUCUGGAAAAAUUAAUUUUUCUGUUUAAAAAUCCCUGCUGGACCCUACAGAAACAAGAGGACUGUCAUAAUGAAGGGUGAGUUCUGUCUCUAUGCUGACAAUUAACCUGCAGAGCAUUAGCGUUUUAGGGUUCAUACAAAAGCUGCUGUUUGUGAACCUGUGCCAGCACAACUGUAGGAUGACUUCUCAUCCCGCACAGCUUUGCUUUGUGCCCCUCCAUUUGCCACUUGGGUUUCUGCAAUUGCAACUCAGUAGCUGCUCAGGAAAACGUGAGCGUCAAGACUUCAAUUGUAUGGGGGUAUUACUUUGCAUUGUGCAGGUUCCUCUGCCAUCACGCGGGCUGGGUAUCCCAAUAGCUGAGCACCCAGUAUUAAGGGAGCUUGGCUUCACAAGCACAUAGGAACAAAAAUAAAAACCAGGGAAAACAACCCAGCUCCUAAAACGAGUUAUAUGGUUCUGUAAAAUACAUCUUUCAGAAAGGUACUUCAGAAAGAAGAGGGAAAAUAUGUUAACGAGAAGAUUACCCUCUAUUUUUAGCUUAGCCUUGGGUGAAUGUAUUUCAGUUAAGACUUUCCAAAGCACUCAGGAGCUCCUAUGCGUUCUGUAAGAGCACAUCCACCUAUGCCUGAGGCUGUUGCUCGUUGCUCACCUAUUGCUCCUAUUCACCUGCGCUUCACAACAUGAAAAUGAAAACAGCUGCUGAAGGUUUUAUCAGACCUGCUAGACAAAAGGCAAAUGAAUCCUUCGCAUCUUCAAACGCUGGUGCCAGAGACCUCACCUGAAACGUUGCUUUGUCUGAAUUGGAGAACUUUGAUCCUGAGGAUCUGUUUGUCUCAGCUGGAGCAAAACCUGAGGGAAGGUUGCUUGGCCUUGCUGUUCAGGGUUUUGCAGGUCAAAGUUGCCUGCAUGAUGUUUCCUACCCAUCAGGAACGAGAGAAGCUAUCACACAGUUCAUCUUUGGCACCAAGACCCCUCAACCAAAUUCUUGGGCUGAGAAGUGGUGGUGGCCUUUAGCUACAGAGGAUCAUGGUGGAGUCCUUAUGGAGCACAGUGCUGCGGGACAAGCUUCAUUUGCUGUCUACAGUUCUCCACAGGAUGCGAGUCCUCCAGGAGACCAGGGGCAAAUUAUUUGGAACAUACCCAGAGAAAGAAUGGCACAAAUGACAAGAGACCAAAUGAAUGGGAAAGCAGUCCAAAUGCUGGUAGUAAUUCAUUAUUGAAUCUUGAGAGAAAAGGAAAAUGGGAGAGACUUUUAAAGACUGAAGAUGCUGGCACAGCCAUGACUGUGAUGAUUUCGUUCUCCAUAUCCAUCACAGGGAGGACCAAGAAUGAUUGGCUCAGUUUUCCUCUAACUUAACAAACUGAACUGGCUUACCAAGGGUUAUCAUGCAGACUCCAAAGAUGAUGCAAAAGAAUGAAGAAGCAGAGGGUGAAAGCAUGGAGAAACAGGGGGUCUCCUUUUCUGGUAAGAAUGCAGUCACAGCUAAGACCACCGUGGCUCUGGGUAGCCUGGUCUAGUGGUUGGUGACCCUGCCCAUGGCAGGAGGGUUGCAAUCAGAUGAUCAUUAUGGUCCUUUUCAACUCAGGCCAUUCUAUGAUUCUGUGGUGAUGACCACCAGCAUUUCUACUUGUUUAACAAUCCUUUAUCUAAAUUCAUGCAUCUAUGUGUUGUCUUACAGUAUGGCAAUUCCACAGGAAAAGAAAAAGAGGAGAGAAAGGCACCUCAUUUGCAAUCUCUCAGUUUCUCUCAUCUGCUUCCAUCAGAUGAUUAUAGAAUCAUAGAAUUACCCAGGUUGGAAAAGAUCUUGAAGAUCAUCAAGUCCAACCGCAGUCUAAUGAUGGCUCAAGACAUCCCACCGCAGCACUUUGACCUCAUCAGACUGCAAUGCUCUCUGUUACACUCACAGAGAGCAGCAAGCUGGUGGUAGCAAAGGCAAGCCCACUACGCUAACAUGUGUUGGCAAUGGGGAAGUUUAGGAAACCUGCCGUGGUUGUGAGAGACAGUUGGGAGUUCUCCUUUUUAUUAUCUGUUGAUUUAGAAAAUGUUGAUUUGCUGAACUAUUCAUUUUUUGGUGGAUCCUCCUCUAUUGGAAGAGAUAGAGAAAAUACUCAGGGGCCUGUAGAUCAAAAAAAGUUUGAAAGUCACUAGUGAAGCUGAAAAUAUGGGUACUUUUGGAAAUAAACAAGAGUUUAGAGGUAGGAACAAGUUCAGAUUUCUUCUAUGCCUGAUCUGUAAGGGUGUGAAGAUGAAUUUCCCUCUUGCUGGAAGAGUACUGCCACCACCAAGAGCAGGAAAGCUGUUCAGGAGUAGGGCCGCCUGCCUCUUGUUUUGUGAACAGUUUCUCUCAGCUCAUGGAUCUAUCCUGAUUUGGAAGAGGAAAAAGGAGAAAGAUAAAAAAAAAAUAGGAAUAAAGAUAAAAUGAAAAGAAAGCAAUCUGUUGUAGUGUAGGAAGGCUUUUUUUCCCUCCCUAGUCUAAUAAUGACAUUGGUAUAGAAUUUAUUAAUGUGCGUGUUGUGUUUUCUAUACAAAUCAUUGUAGAUUUCUAAACAUAUUUUGCCAUACAUUAACCCAAUUUUACAUAGCCGUGUAUUGUCAGCUUUUCCUAGCUAGAAGGUCACUGUGUAUGUUAACUAGAUGCGCUGUCAAGGGCCAUUUAUAUUUGCCAUGCAGAUAACUUCUCAAGACAGAUACUUCUCAGUUAGUUCGUGCACAUUCAGAAUGAUAAUGUUUAACCUUUUGGUUUUGGGUAUGAAGUUUCUCUUUUCUUUACACAUUCAACCUAGAUACCAAUUGCUGGCCUGGAGAAUGUGUCUCUGCUAUCCCAGAGUCUGCUGGUGACUUCAUAUGUUUCUGCCAAGGCCAGUUUGUCCAUGAGUGGUAAAAUCACGGUGGAAUUUCUACUGAAUAACAGCAUGUUUACAAGAGCAGAUCAGUUCCUCACGAUGCAUAUUUAUACAGCGGAUACCAGAGGAAAGCAUAGCUUGCCACAGAAUGCAGAGCCUGCCCUUUGCCUAUGACACUCCGUUAGCUUUCCAGAUGAUUUCCCUCUCAUAGCUGAUAGACGCUGACUUUGGCAGCAUCAUUAGCGAUAGGCUGUGUAUCAUAGCUAAUCAUAUCUGCUGAAAGGCUUUAAAGUCUUUUCACAUCCUCCUCAAAAAUGAUGUAGUUUUUUUUUUCUCCCUCUCAUUAUUUUUACCACUGGUCUCUAGUCCACAGUUCAUUAAGCAAACUUUCAACCCUGUUUAGUUAUGCUUUGUCUAAAGAGCACAGCAUCGGUAUGGGGCCAAAUUCAAACACGAAGUUUUGCUUCUUUCUUUAAAGAAAACAUAAUUAUUAAGCUCAGAUUGACACAGAUCAAAACAUUGGCAAAAACUGCUGGAAACAGUGACUCAGGUUUUUGUUUUUUUUUAUUUCAAUUAACAGUUUCUCAGUUUCACGUAUAAACAGCAAAACUGUCAAAAAUAAUUAUCUUGGAGAAUAAACUAUUUUACUGCAAGGUAUGGAAAACUGGGUAUAACAAUAGUGGUGUGUACUGGUCUGGCUGUUAGUGAACUGAACUGAAUCACAGAGACAUUUUUUGUCUUGGUAGGAAACCUGCUAGUACUUAUUUUUCUGCUCUUUUAAGUAUUAAUUUACUUGUCUAACCACCUCUGUUUGACGAGGAAAGCUCUUAGCUUACAAGUUUAGUAAGGAUAGAAGCAUUCUGAGUGGCAAUUAUUUUAUUUGUAGAGUGGGAAGGAGAAGGUUAUGGGACUUUAAAAAUCAUUAUUUUAUUUACAAAAAGCAUCUAUUUUUUUGAAUUCUCUUUCCAGUCAUUUGACUGAAAAGUCUUCCGUGGCUCUUUUUGUCACUUAGGGUAUUCAGCUUGGACUUGAUUUCCUUGCUCUUAUUCUUACAAACUCAGGUGAAUCUGACCUAAUUAUAAAGUUGUAGAUUCUUUUUGCUCGUGAACUUUGGCAUUUGACUGCAGGGGAAAGGGUUUCUUAAAUGUAUGUUGCUUGUUGGCUGAAAUAUUGGCGUGCUAUCUUGUCUCCUACAGAGAACGAUGAAAUUAAAACAUUUUCCUGUUUCUCUCUUCUUUUGUUUCCUGCCCCUAUGUUGUCAGUUGUUUCCUAGGAUACAUUUCAGGUUCAUGAGUUUAAACUGAGAUAAACAGCCCUCACUGGAUGUUAUUUCCACUGUUGGGCAAGACCACAUGGAAUUUUCACUUCCAGUACAUGUUAUUUGAGUAAUUUGUGUUUGUUUAUUCAACAUUAUAUACUUGCUGUGCCGUUGAGAGUAUAAGUAAAAGCAAGUUUCCUAGGGCUAAGAAGACGGGGUUGGUCUGAGCUGUUGUUCUGCUGCAGGUUCCAGCUUUGCUGAGCUUUAAGUCCAUGAAUAUUCUCCCCAGAGCUGCUGAGAUCACUCACACGCCUAACGCGUGCAUUUCAGUUUGACUCAGCUUGACCCUGUUUGACUCCAGAGUCAAGGAAAUGAUGCCACGGCUGACCAUAGCUGUUUGUUUCUCAUUUGUCUGCAUUUACAUACCCUCUGUGUCUGCUUUUCAUUAACAUGUGAGACUUUAGCAGGGAUUUUCACAAACAUUUAGCACGGGCCAAACUAAAUUUAAUUGGGCUCAGUUGGACACCAUUAAGUGCUUUUGAAAAAUUGCCCGUCUUUUUUUUUUUCUUUUUUUUUUUCCAGACAAAUUCCCAAGGGUGCUUGUGAGCUGAAAACCAUUCAUGGUAGAUACCCAUGUUUGUGUCUUCUCAUAAUAAAACUAAAUGGCUUCCUGUCACCAUAGACACUGUUUAGUUUUAUACUCCUCAUAACUUUCUGGAUCCUGGCACAUCCAUGGCUUCAUCUUGAGAUAAAUUCCCUCUUUGAAUUGAUCUUGCAGAAAUACUCUCUUCAUUCAAAUGCCUCUGUUAAAAUCUUGUUUUAUAGUUUGCACGCAUCCAUGUUUAAUUCUUCUUUCUUUUUUUAGAGUGGGAAAAGGUCUAAGCAGCGCUGUUCAUUAAGAUACUCAUUAAGAUAUUUAACAACAUAACUAAUUUUCUCUUGGAGUUCUCAGCUGUCUCUCACAAUCUUAGCCAUGCUCAAGAACUCAUAAACUAUUCAAACUUGUAUAGAUAGGGUAGGAAAUACAAGGAGCCCUUUUAUGAGCAGAUGAGGUACCAAGUGAAUUGGAAGCUACUUCUCUAUUUAAGUCCAGCAGCACUCUGCACUGAACUUCAGCUGCUCUCCGUGUUUGCCUUUCCUGAGCCUAUUCAUGCUCAUCUUAAAGGCAUUAUUUUUUGCAUGUUUUCAAAAACAUGUAGGUAGUUUGGGAGCGCGUUUGGGAAAAUGGAUGAAACAUCAGACCUACUGUAAGAUCAAAGAUAAAGAAGUAUCCGAGGUGACAUUUCCUGUAGGCAUUUUUUGCAAACAAGGUCUUGGCUGAAUAUCUGGAUGCUUACUAGCAAAUGUUUUGUAUCCGUGUCAAGGACAGAAUUUUAAUUGCAUUUCUGCCUGGCAUUAGAUGCAUAGUCUAGGAGCUGAUGUUGCACUGCAGAUGGAAGCUGACAUGGGACUGAGAUGACAUCCUUCACUGCAGAAUACUUUUAUCCAGAUGUUCCUUCUCAGGGUGGGAUAUGAGGAGUGCACCUGUGCGCACCAGAGUAGCAGCAGCCAGGGAGGAUACCCUGCCAUAACAUGUGUCUGUGAAACACAUACUUUCUCACUGAGGAAAUGAGCUUAUUUCAACAAAAAUGGGAACUUCAAAAAGAUAUAUAUGUAGUGCUGGGGAAAACGAAGCAUCUUUGCACUUAAACUGUGUAGGGUGAUUAAUUUAAUGUGCCAUAUCCCUCAUGCACACAUUCUUCUUCUUUGCCAAAAGCUGAAUGUAAUUGGAAGCCUAUGAACGUCCAUAGGUGCCAGACAGCUUAAAAUUGAGAUCCUAUGAAAUACAAACAAAUUGAAAUAUUUGUCUCUUGUGUAAGUGAGAAAAGUUACUAAGCAUUAAAUACCAAUUGCAAGAAGAAUUAUUUGAGAUGGCCAAAAAUGAAACUGUUCUUGUGUGGAGCAGGAGUCUAACUGGAGUGACUUGGACAAGCAGGUUCUGCUUUACACAGUGGUUUGGCGUCCCCCAGGCUGGUCAGUGUCACAGCAGCUUCCUCAAGUAUUAAAAGAUAUAAUAGUCUACAUAGGUACCCUCAUACACGUGAAUUGCAUUCAGACACCUCAUUUUCUUUUCCAGAUGGAGGUAAGCCAUACUGUUACAACAACAUUUCUGUUGGUGUGGCUGUGUCCACAUAGGAAAGGCAAUGGUUUAGCUAGAUACAAGCAGCUUGUAGACGCUGACAAGCUCCAAGAUUAGAAGAAUAUCAAGUCUUGAUACUAUUUUUAUUGUCAGGGCACUCAAGUUGUUCUUUGACUCCCCUGUAUUUCCUUUUUACUUUCAGUUUCUCCUUGACAUUUUAGCUUCACCAGAGCAGAGUUCAAGGGUAUUUGGAAGGCUCAGAUGAUGUGGCUUCUAUUGUCAACUUUGCUGAGAGUCUGCCAGGUGUUUUUUUCUUUGCCUCCAUUUAUCAUUGCUCCUUUUUAAUUCCUAGCUGUUAUGCUUACAAGAUCUUCAGUACAGUAACUAUUCAUAACUACGUGUCAUUAAAAUGCCUAGGACACUAAAAUGCUGUUGUUUUUUUUUGUUUUUUUCAAGGAGAUGGGGUAGUAUGGCUACGUAAUAGCAUAGGAAAAUGAUAGCUAAAAUUAGCCAAGUCCUAAAAAUAAAGGAAAAUGUAUUUUUUUAAAAAGAAAAUUUGCGUUUUAUAGGAACUGUGACUUGUGAAAAGAAAAGAAAAGAAAAGAAAAGAAAAGAAAAGAAAAGAAAAGAAAAGAAAAGAAAAGAAAAGAAAAGAAAAGAAAAGAAAAGAAAAGAAAAACUCCUCCUUUAUGGAAACACAACUAUAGUAUUUCCAUUUUUGGAAAUGCAUCUGCUCAACAUUGACGUAUUUUUGAGUGAUCUCUUCUGACCCUACAUUGCCCUUUUUUGUUUAGCAUCCAAUUCCAUCAGCCCCUUCAAAAUGUGGUAUUCCCCUAAACUACCAUUAGGUUGAAUAAUACAUGCAUAUGAUUUAAUCCAAGCUGUCUCCAGCAGUUAGUGGUCUUCUGGAGAGUAUCCAGAUACUGCUUGAAAAGAGAUAACUGGGAAAGAAAUAAACAAUUUUGCUUGACGAAUGGA